rnacentral:rRNA from 1 species
GCAAGAACGUUAUCCCCUUGCGCUGGCUGUGGUCGCUUGCAACACUGCCAGUACCGUUUCACUUCCUGCAUUACGCGAAAAGUUCGACUUCCCGGUUGUUGGUGUCGUGCCGGCGAUUAAACCUGCUGCACGUCUGACGGCAAAUGGCAUUGUCGGAUUACUGGCAACCCGCGGAACAGUUAAACGUUCUUAUACUCAUGAGCUGAUCGCGCGUUUCGCUAAUGAAUGCCAGAUAGAAAUGCUGGGCUCGGCAGAGAUGGUUGAGUUGGCUGAAGCGAAGCUGCAUGGCGAAGAUGUUUCUCUGGAUGCACUAAAACGUAUCCUACGCCCGUGGUUAAGAAUGAAAGAGCCGCCAGAUACCGUUGUAUUGGGUUGCACCCAUUUCCCUCUACUACAAGAAGAACUGUUACAAGUGCUGCCAGAGGGAACCCGGCUGGUGGAUUCUGGCGCAGCGAUUGCUCGCCGAACGGCCUGGUUGUUAGAACAUGAAGCCCCGGAUGCAAAAUCUGCCGAUGCGAAUAUUGCCUUUUGUAUGGCAAUGACGCCAGAAGCUGAACAAUUAUUGCCCGUUUUACAGCGUUACGGCUUCGAAACGCUCGAAAAACUGGCAGUUUUAGGCUGAUUUGGUUGAAUGUUGCGCGGUCGGAAAAUUAUUUUAAAUUUCCUCUUGUCAGGCCGGAAUAACUCCCUAUAAUGCGCCACCACUGACACGGAACAACGGCAAACACGCCGCCGGGUCAGCGGGGUUCUCCUGAGAAUUCCGACAGAGAAAGCAAAAAUAAAUGCUUGACUCUGUAGCGGGAAAGCGUAAUAUACACACCCCGCGCCGCUGAGAAAAAGCGAAGCGGCACUGCUCUUUAACAAUUUAUCAGACAAUCUGUGUGGGCACUCGAAGAUACGGAUUCUUAACGUCGCAAGACGAAAAAUGAAUACCAAGUCUCAAG